AUGAUUUUGUUCCUCAUGUUUGGACCAGUUGAAGGGAGAGUUGGCGUUUAUCUUGGAGAGUUGGCGUCCAUCUUGGCUUGUCCAGAAGGAAUAUAUUUUAUACAGGCUCAAUUUGUAUGGGUAGAUUGCUUAAGAAACAGGUUCGGAUCAACAACCCAACUGAUCGCUUACCUUUCUUUACAACAAGGCCUAUUUGACAAGGAGUAAUGGUUGUAAUAUGCUUUAAAAUAUUCUCUUUAAUAAGUUUCUCAACAAUUUUGUCUAUAUCAAGUUUUGCAUAAAGUUUUACACAA